CUUUCAACUCCACUUCCCGUCCUAUAUAAACCAGAAAUUAUAUAACAGGCCCACUGAUACUACCUACUCUCUGCUAUUUCACAACAAGCACCUCACACCACCAUCAUCACUACCACAACACCGCCAUGGAUUCCGAUUUCGGCAUUCCCAGAGAACUUUCCGAGCUUCAAAAACUGAGAUCCAUUUACGAACCAGACCUCCCUCCUUGCCUUCAGGGAACUACUGUCAGGGUAGAAUUUGGCGAUUCUACUACUGCAGCAGACGCAGCUGGUGCUCGCACCAUAAGCAGAUACUUUCCCCACACUUACGGUCAGCCCUUGGCUCACUUUCUUAGGGCAACUGCUAAAGUACCUGAUGCUCACAUCAUUACUGAACAUCCAGCUAUGAGGGUGGGAAUAGUCUUUUGUGGGAGACAAUCUCCUGGAGG
rnacentral:misc_RNA from 1 species